CCUACGGGAGGCAGCAGUGAGGAAUAUUGGUCAAUGGACGAGAGUCUGAACCAGCCAAGUAGCGUGAAGGAUGACUGCCCUAUGGGUUGUAAACUUCUUUUAUAUGGGAAUAAAACGUUCCACGUGUGGGAUUUUGUAUGUACCAUAUGAAUAAGGAUCGGCUAACUCCGUGCCAGCAGCCGCGGUAAUACGGAGGAUCCGAGCGUUAUCCGGAUUUAUUGGGUUUAAAGGGAGCGUAGGUGGAUUGGUAAGUCAGUUGUGAAAGUUUGCGGCUCAACCGUAAAAUUGCAGUUGAAACUGGCAGUCUUGAGUACAGUAGAGGUGGGCGGAAUGCGUGGUGUAGCGGUGAAAUGCUUAGAUAUCACGAAGAACUCCGAUUGCGAAGGCAGUUCACUGGACUGCAACUGACACUGAGGCUCGAAAGUGUGGGUAUCAAACAGGAUUAGAUACCCCUGUAGUC
rnacentral:rRNA from 1 species